rnacentral:rRNA from 1 species
AUUGAACGCUGGCGGCAUGCCUUACACAUGCAAGUCGAACGGCAGCAUGGAGAGCUUGCUCUCUGAUGGCGAGUGGCGAACGGGUGAGUAAAGCAUCGGAACGUACCGUGUAGUGGGGGAUAACGUAGCGAAAGUUACGCUAAUACCGCAUACGCACUGAGGUGGAAAGCAGGGGAUCGUAAGACCUUGCGCUAUACGAGCGGCCGAUGUCAGAUUAGCUAGUUGGUAGGGUAAAGGCCUACCAAGGCGAUGAUCUGUAGCGGGUCUGAGAGGAUGAUCCGCCACACUGGGACUGAGACACGGCCCAGACUCCUACGGGAGGCAGCAGUGGGGAAUUUUGGACAAUGGGGGCAACCCUGAUCCAGCCAUGCCGCGUGAGUGAAGAAGGCCUUCGGGUUGUAAAGCUCUUUCGGCCGGGAAGAAAUCGCACAGGCUAAUACCCUGUGUGGAUGACGGUACCGGCAUAAGAAGCACCGGCUAACUACGUG